rnacentral:rRNA from 1 species
GAUAUCGGAAGGAACACCAAUAUGGCGAAGGCACUGUACUGGGCUUUACCUGACGCUAAGAGACGAAAGCUAAAGGAGUGAUUAGGAUUAGAUACCCUAGUAAUUUUAGCCGUAAACGAUGGAAACUCACUGCUGAGCCGGUAUUCGGAGCGGUGGUCAAGCUAACGCGUGAAGUUUCCCGCCUGGGGAUUACGCAUGCAAAUGUGAAACUCAAAGGAAUUGACGGGGACCCGCACAAGCGGUGGAGUAUGUGGUUUAAUUCGAUGCAACGCGAAAAACCUUACCAAGGUUUGAAAUCAUUCUAAAACUCUUUGAAAGAAGAGCCUCCUUCGGGAUAGAAUGACAGGUGGUGCAUGGCUGUCGUCAGCUCGUGUUGUGAAAUGUCAAGUUAAGUCUUGUAACGAGCGCAACCCAUGUCUUUUGUUGCUGUUUACAGUGCUUAAAAGAGACUGCCGCUCUACAGCGGAGGAAGGUGUGGAUGAUGUCAAGUCAGCAUGCCCCUUAUAUCUUGGGCUACACACGUACUACAAUGGUAGGGACAAUGAGUCGCAAACCUGCGAAGGCUAGCCAAUCUCAAAAACCCUAUCUCAGUUCGGAUUGUACUCUGCAACUCGAGUGCAUGAAGGUGGAAUCGCUAGUAAUCGCUGGUCAGCAUACAGCGGUGAAUACGUUCCCGGGUCUUGUACACACUGCCCGUCACACCAUGGAAGUCGAUCCUUCCCUAAGUCGUUACUCGAACCUUUUAGGACGAGGAUGCCGAAGGCAGGGUUGGUGACUAGGGUGAAGUCGUAACAAGGUAGCCGUACUGGAAGGUGUGGCUG